rnacentral:rRNA from 1 species
AUGAACGCUGGCGGCGUGCUUAACACAUGCAAGUCGAACGAUGAAGCCCAGCUUGCUGGGUGGAUUAGUGGCGAACGGGUGAGUAACACGUGAGUAACCUGCCCUUAACUCUGGGAUAAGCCUGGGAAACUGGGUCUAAUACCGGAUAGGAGCGUCCACCGCAUGGUGGGUGUUGGAAAGAUUUAUCGGUUUUGGAUGGACUCGCGGCCUAUCAGCUUGUUGGUGAGGUAAUGGCUCACCAAGGCGACGACGGGUAGCCGGCCUGAGGGGGUGACCGGCCACACUGGGACUGAGACACGGCCCAGACUCCUACGGGAGGCAGCAGUGGGGAAUAUUGCACAAUGGGCGCAAGCCUGAUGCAGCGACGCCGCGUGAGGGAUGACGGCCUUCGGGUUGUAAACCUCUUUCAGUAGGGAAGAAGCGAAAGUGACGGUACCUGCAGAAGAAGCACCGGCUAACUACGUG